UGGGGAAUUUUGGACAAUGGGCGCAAGCCUGAUCCAGCCAUUCCGCGUGCAGGAUGAAGGCCUUCGGGUUGUAAACUGCUUUUGUACGGAGCGAAAAGGUCUUCUCUAAUACAGGGGGCUCAUGACGGUACCGUAAGAAUAAGCACCGGCUAACUACGUGCCAGCAGCCGCGGUAAUACGUAGGGUGCAAGCGUUAAUCGGAAUUACUGGGCGUAAAGCGUGCGCAGGCGGUGAUGUAAGACAGAUGUGAAAUCCCCGGGCUCAACCUGGGAACUGCAUUUGUGACUGCAUCGCUAGAGUGCGGCAGAGGGGGAUGGAAUUCCGCGUGUAGCAGUGAAAUGCGUAGAUAUGCGGAGGAACACCGAUGGCGAAGGCAAUCCCCUGGGCCUGCACUGACGCUCAUGCACGAAAGCGUGGGGAGCAAACAGG
rnacentral:rRNA from 1 species